AUGUAUGUUUAUGUGUCUGUAUGCGAGUGUGUGACGGAUAGUCUGUAUGUGUUCGUGUUUCGCGGCCGGCCCUACAUACCCCAUCGUUGAGUGUUCUCUGUGUCGCGCUGGAGACAGGACCUCCUGAAGCCAGCGCCGCGUGGACACCCUUGAGGACGCUAGUACCCAAGCCAUACCUGCAGCUUCGUUGUGCCCCUCAGGAGACAUCACCACCACCAGCUCGCCCUCUUGUCCCAUCAAGGGUGUCUAUGCGGCCUGGCCUGACGCACAGUAGUCACUCCCUCAGCCACCCCUUCACCCACUCCUUCACCCACUCCUACGAGCAUUCAGAAGCAACGUUUUGAGUUCUGAGAGCUCUGAAGACGAUAACAGUCCAGGCGAUAACACUAAGGACACGAUCAAGGACAUCCCAGUGGCCUUAAAGCAAACACAGUGCAGGCCAGCGCCUCCUCCGCCCAUGACCCACGCCCACGCUACUUCCUGACGUCUGCUUGCCCCGGUGGGUGUCGCGUUGCUUUGGGUGACGCACCCUUCACUGUGGGAGCCCUCGCACUGCCCAGCUGCUGGGUGAAGGCCGCCCACGAACGCCUAGAGGCCUGGAUUGUUAACCACGGACCCUGGGUUCCCUGAGGCCUGAUUCUUGAACGUCCUUGGAAUUGAACUGAAGAAGAACUGAGGUCUUCUGAAGGAGGUCUUGCUUACGCUACCACAGCUGACUUCUGGAACGCCCCAGGAACUGAAAGAAAGAGGAAUUGAGGUGUCCUAAAGGAGGUUCUACUACUACUACUACCACCACUUCUACUGCUACUACUACUACUACUACUACUACUACUACUACUACUACUACUUCUACUACUAAUACUACUAUUACUACUACUACUACUACUACUACUACUACUACAAUGGCUGCUGGUAUUGUAGUCUAUGAUGCUCGCCUGAGACGCAUUGCAGAAGGGCAGGGAGAAACGCAAGACGCUAUAAAGCCUGUGGAGAAAAUCAGAGGAAUAUUACAGCUAUAUCAAAGUCUCCCCUCUACAUUCAAUUUUCUCUCAAAGGAACAUCACAGAAAAUGGUAGUGGUAAGUACAAUUUUUUCUAGUAC